GCCUAAAUAGCUCAGUUGGGAGAGCUUUAGACUGAAGCUCUGAAGGUCCCUGGUUUGAUCCCAAGUUUUGGCA